GUAAAUGGCAAAAGUGCUCAGAAUAUCGCCCUCAUUCAUUUUAAAUUCACUUAUUUUUAAGGUUUACUUGUCCUUUAACCUAUUAAAUAUGUCACUUUCAUUAAAGGAGAAGGAAAGUCUUAUGCAGCGUGCCCCAUAUUCCGACGGUUUUGGUUUCCUCUUUUUCAGAAAGUGACUUUUAUUUUCCAUCUCCAAUAUUGACAUCUCAGUAUCAUAAGGUGUUUUAGAAGAACGAGCUGACCCAUUGCACUUCAUUUAUCCGUUCGUAACCCUUACAAACUGACACGUACACAUACGCACGUGUUUUUCUAAGAAUACUAUAAUGAGAAUUUCGCGUGACAAUCUCCUCUUGUCUUCCUGGGAGGAAGCGGGAGGGGAGGUAAAGGGGAAAAUAGAGCAGGAAGUUUUGGUGAGAAGGUUCACGUUCCGCUAAUUUAUCUUUUAUUUUUCUCAGUCUAAAAUCAAUUGCAUUUGUCUGUGCUCAGUUUGUCAUUGUGCUUGUGACCUGUACUCCUGUGUGCUAUAUAUUUGCCUAUAACGUCUGCUGCAUUUUCCACUGCAUGUCUGCAUCAUUGGUAUCAUCUGUAUCUCAUAAUGCAUAAAUAAAUCUCUCGACAGUUUAUAUCAGCUACCUAAUAAACCAUUACAUUAUUUCUA